AACGCACGAGACCUGCGGACCUGCGGAGUGAUCAUUAGUGAACGCCCUCACGGGCUUAUAACUAUUCCAAACCUCUGUGAACCGUGCCCUUCGGGGCUAUUUUACAAACAUGGUGUAAUGAACGUCAUAUAUCAUAACAAAACAAAACUUUUAACAAUGGAUCUCU
rnacentral:misc_RNA from 1 species